CUGCCCAGUGAAAAACAUUCAACGGCCGCGGUAUCCUAACCGUGCAAAGGUAGCAUAAUCAUUUGCCUAUUAAUUGUAGGAUAGAAUGAACGGAUAAACGAAAUAGAACCUGUCUCAAUCAGUAUGCUAAAAAUUAACAUUUACAUGAAGAGGUGUAAAUAAAAUCGAAGGACAAGAAGACCCUAUAGAGCUUUAUUUUUACGUAUAUAUAAUACCUACAAAUUCGGUUGGGGCGACCAAGGAAAUAUAUAACAUCCUUAAAAUAAAGAUUUAUUAAUCAAUAAAAUGACCCUUUUUUAGAUCAAAAGACCAAGCUACCUUAGGGAUAACAGGCUAAUCUCAUUAAAGAGUUCCUAUCAAUAAUGAGGUUUGGCACCUCGAUGUUGGCUUAGGGUAUCGAUAUAGCGCAAAAGUUAUACAUGGCUGGUUUGUUCAACCAAUAAUUCCCU
rnacentral:rRNA from 1 species